GAGUUUGAUUAUGGCUCAGGAGGAACGCUGGCGGCGUGCCUAACACAUGCAAGUCGAGCGAGAAAUAGUCAGACGGAGAUUUCGGUUGAAGGAUGGUUAUGGAAAGCGGCGGACGGGUGAGUAACGCGUAGGCAACCUGCCUCAUGCAGAGGGAUAGCCUCGGGAAACCGGGAUUAAAACCUCAUAAGGCCAAGGGGACACAUGUUUUCGUGGUCAAAGAUUUAUCGGCAUGAGAUGGGCCUGCGUCUGAUUAGCUGGUUGGUGAGGUAACGGCUCACCAAGGCGACGAUCAGUAGCCGACCUGAGAGGGUAAACGGCCACAUUGGAACUGAGACACGGUCCAAACUCCUACGGGAGGCAGCAGUGGGGAAUAUUGCACAAUGGGCGAAAGCCUGAUGCAGCAACGCCGCGUGAGCGAAGAAGGCCUUUGGGUCGUAAAGCUCUGUCGAUAGGGAAGAAAAAGGUGA
rnacentral:rRNA from 1 species